rnacentral:rRNA from 1 species
GACGAACGCUGGCGGCGUGCCUUAUACAUGCAAGUAGAACGCCGUUGCGAACGGGUGAGUAACGCGUAGGUAACUGCCUCAAAGCGGGGGAAAACUAUUGGAAACGAUAGCUAAAACCGCAUUCUGUGCGAUGGACCUGCGUUGUAUUAGCUAGUUGGUGAGGUAAAGUCUGACCAAGGCGACGAUACAUAGCCGACCUGAGAGGGGGAUCUGCAAAACUGGGACUGAGACACGGACCAAACUCCUACGGGAGGCAGCAGUAGGGAAUCUUAGGAAAUGGACGGAAGUCCGAGCGAUGAACGCCGCGGGAGUGAAAAAGGUGUUCGGAUCGUAAAGCUCUGUUGUUAGAGAAGCGGUAACUAACCAGAAAGGGACGGCGAACUACGGGCCAGCAGCCGCGGUAAUUC